UGCUUCAAAUACAAAUACGCAGCAAAAAUCUGACGGGUUCCGAAAAAAGGAAGAUAAAUACACAUAACUUUUGGACAAAUAACUUUUAAAAGAUUUUGAUUGCGAAUUUAUAUCAACAUUUGUGUCAAUUAAAAGAAAACUUCGAUGUACUGUGCAUGUGUUUAAGUAUUUAGGAAUUAAAGUGAAUAAUUGCUAGUCUUGUAUAUUUUUGUGGUGUGGACUCGAGCAAGUGAAGCGUGAGAAAAUUUUAUGGUUUGCUUGCAAAUAUAAAAUAAACAUAGUAUAUAACAAAUUAUCUAUGGCGAUUGGAGAUUGAAGGAGUUCGCUGAUAACAAUUUUUUGCAAGUAAAAAAAAAGUAAAGGAAUUCUCAAAGGUGAUACUAGUGAAAGAAAAUCACGAAAAAAACGAAAAGUACAACGAAAGGCAAAAAAGACUGCGACGAAUCUUGGUGUGAAAGGAGAAAACAGGUGAUAAAAUUGGAGAGAAGCUGAUUGGUGAGAAAGAAAAAAACAAGAUAUUUUAAUAUACCAUUGCCAAACACUUGGAUUUUGUUAUAAAAAAGUAUAUGUUCUCGUUCAUCCAAAAGUAAAUGAAACAAACAUACAUCAAAAUUAAUAUCAUAAAAUAAUAAGUCACCACCACUACAUAACAAAAAAUAAGUAAUCUGGAACCAAGGUCAUUGUCACCCAACUGCACCGCCAACUAAUAUCCUAAUCAAACCAAUACAUAACUUCAUAUUUUUAAUAAUUGGCAGAAAUAAAAAAAAAAUCACUUAAAACCACCACCACAACACCAUCAAAUAUUGAAUUCUAAUCAUUUUGGGUUGGAUGAUUAACUCCAACACCUAUGUGCGUACGUCAUCAUCUUACUCACCACACCACGGCUGUCUCUAAUUCAUAACCUAAUUUCAUACACUCUAAAGCAUAAAUUGUGAGUGCCCGGACCAAUGGUGGUGGUGCUCAUGGAUGUCCUUGCCCCCAGCAGACAUCAAUCAAAUUAUAAUUGUCAAUUAGGAUAAAUAGUCAGAAAGUAAAGAAAAACAAUACCAAAGGAUUUAAAUUGCAAUUGAUUCUGAUUUAAACAUUUGAUUCGGUUAACGAAAAAAACAGAAAAAAGAGAGCUUUUGCAUACAGAGACGCAAAGCAUUGAGAAGUGUGGUGGGAGUACAAGGACAAUUGGUUAGAUAGAUCGCUGCCUAACGAUAGUUUGCCAUAACGUCCAGACAAUUUCACAAAAUGAAUCUGUGGAAGAGAAUCUCAUGCAAUCCAGAUGUGAAACAGUCGAUGAUACAGUACUAUGAUGAAAAGGGUUUAGCCGAUAUACGAGUCUAUUUGGCACCUUGGAUUGAGGAAAGAAUUAUGUCUGAACUGAUAAAUACCACCUCUACGGAGCUUUACGAACGUGAUGCUCUCCAAUUCUAUGAGGAUUUGAAACAGAAACUUAUUCCACUGAGUAACGACAAUUUGAUUAAAUUUAAAUUAGCUGAAAUUUGUACGAGUAUCACGCAAACGCCAGCCGUGGAGUUAUACACGCAUUUUCGCACCGGUGUUCAGCGUGAAAUCCAACUGCUGGACCAAAUGCCUCAGUUUGCAUAUGGAGUUGCUGCUGCUGUCAAUGGAUCGGCAGUGGGUACGCCCGGUAUAAUUGGUGGCGCUAGCAUGCCAGUGCCUACCGGCAUGCAUUCGAACAAUAUGGCGGCGGCAACUCUCAAUGGCAGCAACUCGUAUGCCGGUGACAAUCUAUUUGCCGUCCAGAGUACCAUACCCAAAUUAAGCAUGGCCAUAAAUACCAUAUACUCGGAAGUUCAACAGUUCGGUCGCAGUUAUGAGACAUUUCACAAUUGUUUCAACAACUAUAGCCAACGCAAAGCGGCCAUGGUUGGCCACGAUUCCGAAUUGCACUUACAGGACAUACAAUUGCAGGACCAAUGUCGUAUUUUGGCUGGACAAAGGAGUAGCAUUUUGCAAGAAUUGAAGCGUAUAACAUUCGACUAUGAUGCCAUACAAGAGACAGUCAUUAAUGAAUUGAAAAACUGGCAACGUAAUCAAGCGCUGGCGGGGAAUGGUGCCCCAUUCCGGGAUAACUUGGAUGAUAUACAGCGCUGCAUUGUAUUGUUGCUAGAGUUGGUGGGCAAAAUUUUGGAAAAUGUCAAUGCUAUGCAAAGGAUACCCUUGGAACACAACGAUGAGUGCGGUGAACUAAUAGUACAUGUUCGUCAGGCCCAACAAGUGUUGGUUUUGUCAUCGUUCAUAGUAGAGAAACAACCGCCACAGGUUAUGAAAACAAAUACCAGAUUUGCAGCAGGUGUACGAUGGCUUAUUGGUCCACAAUUGGGCAUCAGUGUGAAUGGUCCUCAAGUUGAGUGCAUAAUACUAUCAGAGGCUCAGGCUCAACGUCAUUCCGCACAACGUACAAUGCCUGAUUCAUCCAACAGCACACCAGCCUCAUCUGGUGAGAUAGUGAAUAACAUAGGCAAUCUGGAAUACAACAACCAAACUGGUGUAUUUUCCGCAAGUUUCAGAACGAUGCAAUUGAAAAAAAUAAAACGUGCCGAGAAGAAGGGCACCGAAAGUGUCAUGGACGAGAAGUUUGCUUUAUUAUUUUAUACAUCUGUUGUAGUUAAUGAUUAUAGAAUUAGGGUAUGGACCUUGUCGUUGCCUGUUGUGGUCAUCGUUCAUGGCAAUCAGGAGCCACAGUCAUGGGCCACCAUCACGUGGGACAAUGCCUUCUCCGACAUUGUGCGAGAACCUUUCCAUGUGCCCGACAAAGUAGUGUGGUCCCAGCUGGCCAUGGCAUUAAAUAUAAAAUUCGAAUCAUCUACAGGUCGUGGCCUAACCGAGGAGAAUCUAAAUUUUUUGCACGAAAAACUUUUCCGCCGCAGUCUAGUGAACAAUGGUGAUGAAGACUAUAUAACCUGGGCACAAUUCUGCAAAGAACCCUUGCCAGAUCGUUCAUUCACAUUUUGGGAUUGGUUCUUUGCCAUAAUGAAACUCACCAAAGACCAUUUAUUAAAUUUAUGGAAAGCUGGUCUCAUUGUGGGCUUUAUCAACAAACAUCGAGCUGAGCAAGAACUAAUGCAUACACAGGAGGCGGGUACAUUUUUAUUACGAUUCUCGGACAGUGAAUUGGGUGGUAUUACAGUUGGUUUCCUAAAAGAUAAUUCGGUUUUAAUGCUGUCACCAUGGACAGCGCGUGAUCUAAAUAUACGAGGCUUAGCCGAUCGUAUUCAUGAUGUGGAUAUGCUUCGUUGGCUUUAUCCUUCAAGACGCAACCGAGACGAAGCAUUUAACGAAUUUUACACACAACGAAUGGAAGAAAGUACACGCCAUGAUGGUUAUGUUACAAACACCAUACGAGUUAAUGUACCAGCCAUAGAAAAUAAUACCGGCACACCGCAGCAUGUUAUGCAAUCGCCGCAUUCACAUGAUAUACAAAUGGGAAAUGAAAACAGCAUUGAUUUUCUUCAAAAUUUACCACUUGAUGGAUCCGCGCCAUGGGACAUUUCUGGGGCAGAUGACCUUGAAUUUUUCAAUUCACACAAUUGAAAUUGCAAUGGUUUUUAGUUGUUGGGAAUUUUACACACACACACAAAAGUCUGAUGGUCGCCUAAUUGAAAUUGCUACAAAAAUAAAUUGAAAUGAAGUUUAAAUUUAGUCAUCUACCUAUUACUACCCUAUUUACUUUGUAAUUUAAUUAUUGAAAAAUUAAAAAUAAUCAAUUAAAAAACAAAAAGAAUUGUAACGUUUUCCUUAGUUUCAUGCCUUCGAAAUUUGUCGUUUUCACUUUCAUUUUGAAAUAAAGAAUCAAAAUGCAAAAAAGAGCCAAGCAAAAAAGUACACAAAAUCAAGUGCCUUUCCUCUUAUACUUCAAAAUACUGCAACUCUCUGCCAGAAAAGUGACAACAUAAAUUUUACGGACUUUGAAUCGAUACUAUACUAACCCCCCAAAAAAUAAAGAAAUUAAUUGAUAUAUACAUAAUCUAAUAUAUAUAUAUACACAUACUUGGAGACAUAACAAAAAUCAAUAUUAUUUGUAUUAUUUUUUAUUUUUACAUUUUAAACAA